CCUAAAGACACCCCUGAGCUUCGUGACAAGCUGAACAAGACGAUAUUACAUAUCGGACAGCUUGUGAAAGAUACGUCAGCUAAACUUAAACAAGCUAGGGAAACUGAUCAUCAGAGUGGUGUUGAUCAAAGGAAGAAGAUUGUGGAUGCUAAGCUUGCAAAAGACUUUCAAGCUGUAUUGCAAGAGUUUCUCAA